UGUCAAUGUGUUGUCAUCAUAGCCACCACUCCCUCCGUUUUUGUCUCUAUCACAACCUCUUGGUUUGAGGUAAUUCAAAGUUUAAAAUCCUAAAUAUAAAUCCUUUUGAAUUUGUUCUUGAUUUCCUUUUCUAUCAUUGAGGUUCUUUUAUUCUAACUCUUUCAAUAUUUCUUCUUGAUUUUUGUUUUUGUUAUAUUCAAAAGUUUGGAAUGUGUUGUAAUCGAUCUUUAUGUUCUUGACAACAAUGGUAAGUUUAGAAGGUAAAGUAUGAUUUUAUUCUUCUUGUUGUUUACUUACUGCUUAGUGUGUUUUCAUGGUUUAAAUUUGUUUGAAUUUUUUGCAUAUGUUCUUUUGCACAUAGUCGCCGCAAAAGAGGAGCAAGUUGAAGAAGAUGAUGAAAUUGAUGGUUACCCAAGCAAGGAAGAUGAUGAUGAUGGGAAGGUAUUUUUAUUUUUUAAAAAAUAGAGGAUAUACCAACGCUAUAUCCCAUCUGUCGGUAUAUUCUCUCUUAAUUGGUUUUUCCUGACUUCGAUCCCGACGCGAAUUUACUCAUCGAAAAAUCAUUUUCCGACGUUUUUCUAUUUCUCCCGACACUUUUGUGCAUCGUGAGAUCUUCAUUUUCUUGUAGUGACAGUAGUAAACUUGAUUGAGAUACAUGAUAAUGAUUCACUUUACUAAUAUGUUGAUAUACUUUAAUAACAUAUUGUUGAUAUACUUUCUAAA
rnacentral:lncRNA from 1 species